ensembl:lncRNA
AUGUAUUAUAUUCCACUCUGCAGCAGCAUUUUAUAUAUAAUAUGAUUUAUUUAAUAUAAUUUAUAAAAUAUAUAUUUUUUAACAUAAUAUCCAUGUCCAUGUUAUUUGUGUAAUGCACUAAUACCUUUUAUUUUAAUUUUAAUUUUUUUACAAUUUUGCAUUGAAAUGUACAUAAAUUUAGUAUUGAUGUUUCAAAUCUUUUUCGUACCCAGCAACAUCCCUUUUUCACUCUCCAUGACUCCAAAGACACCGACGUCGCUAGCUUUGUGAAGAGCAUCCUUGGGGACUGAGAAUGUCCCUCUCAGCAAAACUGAUGUGUUGCCGCGGGGGGAGACGGGACUAUUUCAGAAAAAGCACCAAUAGCAAGAAUAACACCUGUAAGAUACGCCCACCUCAGCAGCCAACAAUGCACAGGCACACAGGAGGGUCUGGGGGAAAGAAUAUCGAAACUGAGGGUGGGCGAGGCGUUUCCUAGCAACACACGAAGUAGGGCAUGGGACGGGAAUCUCAGCGUGUGCGUGCAUUUAUGUGUAGGUGCGUGUGUGAGAACAAGCACGUUUGUGUGAGAGUGUGUGUGAAUUCUUCACCUGCCUGUAUGUGCAUACAUGUGCAUUAAAAGGUUUUACAGUCCCAAGUCAAACUUCAUCUAUUGUUCAAUCUCAGUCCUCCUCCAGCUUUACCUCUCAAUCCAAAAAGCAGUUUUAACAUCAGAAGUAAAAGGUCAAGAUGAGGUUUUCAAGAGGAGUGCAAAAGGGGACAAGGAAAGGAUCCAAAAGUCUUGGAUAUUCGGUCUGCUCUUAACUCCCUUCUUGAUGCAGUAUCACGCAACAGGUUUCUCCGAUCACGAAGCUGAGAUUUUCUAACCAUCCUGGUGAAUUUAAAGCCCACAAGGCUUGGAUCCAAAUCCAAAUGUGUUGUUGUAUUCCCUCAACCCAUUACAGAAUAUCUGGAAGCUUUAUGAAUGUAUCAGUUGUGCUGUGGUUGUUAACUGCUUUGGCUUUCAGGGAAUGGUUCUUAUUAAAGAGAUGCUUCCAAACUGCAACACUACCCUCUGACAACAAUUUCUCAUCUAGUACCAAAAACAACAACAACUUGUCCAAAGAGCCUCAAAUGGGUCAGAAGUUUUGACACCAGCACAACAAUAGUGCGUCAUCAGAAAGAAAGUAAACAAAAAGGGCAACCUAGUACAACGGAACUAGAAGUUGUUAUUACAAAAUAUAGACAAAGGUGGACAGGUUGUGGGAAGGAUAUGUAUUUGAUAACAAAAUAAGGAGGGAAUGAGAGUGAGAGUCACCAAGAACCUAAUGAGUGGCAUAAUGGUCAAAAACGGGACAGCAGAUUAUAUGGAGUAUGAAAGGAAAAAUUAAUCAGAUCUGAUCUUCAUGAUUUUUAUCUGUCUAGUCCAGAACGUUAAUCUAUAAUCAAGAGUGUACGGUUCUGAGUGCAUGCUGAAAAAGGUUAUGACAAAGUUUUUAUAUUUAUAUAAUAAAUAUUUUUAUAUAAUAUAUAGAUAGCUAGAU